rnacentral:pre_miRNA from 1 species
CAUGCAUCGGUGGGGUCCCUCGGCCUGGCCUGUGCCCUCUCGCAAUCUGGGACCCCUCAGUGGAUGUCGGAGAGCCAGUUUCAGCCUGAUCCCGCAGGCCAGGCCGAGGGACCCCACUGGUGCACA